UACAGAGGGGGCCAGCGUUAUUCGGAAUUAUUGGGCGUAAAGGGCGCGUAGGCGGCUUUGCGUGUCUUUCGUGAAAUCCCUCGGCUCAACUGAGGACGUGCGGAAGAAACUGCAGGGCUGGAGUCCGGGAGAGGAGGGUGGAAUUCCCAGUGUAGCGGUGAAAUGCGUAGAUAUCGGGAGGAACACCAGUGGCGAAGGCGACUACCUGGCCUGUUCUUGACGCUGAGGCGCGAAAGCUAGGGGAGCAAACGGG
rnacentral:rRNA from 1 species